UACGAAGGGGGCUAGCGUUGUUCGGAAUUACUGGGCGUAAAGCGCACGCAGGCGGUCCGUUAAAUUAGGAGUGAAAGCCCUGGGCUCAACCCGGGAAUUGCUCUUAAGACUGGCGGACUUGAAUCCGGAAGAGGGCAGUGGAAUUCCAAGUGUAGAGGUGAAAUUCGUAGAUAUUUGGAAGAACACCAGUGGCGAAGGCGACUGCCUGGUCCGGCAUUGACGCUCAUGUGCGAAAGCGUGGGGAGCAAACAGG
rnacentral:rRNA from 1 species